GGAAGAAGGUGGUGCUGGAAGAUUGAGGGCGGCUAGCGGGAGGAGCCGAAGCAGUUGCUGCCGGGAGCGUGCGUCAUGACGUCACCAAGGAAAACCUUUAUAUACGGGAGCUCAGGCACCAUUUCGUCCUUUCGAGGUAUGGAGCUAGGUGCGGAUGCGAUGUGGCUCUCAGUAGCACCUUAUGGAUAGUUGUGUCCCAGAGGAAGGAUGAGAAUAGCUGCUGAAGUAAGUUGAAAAUUCCCUCUCAAAAAAAUUGAAGUCACUGAAUGUGCCACAAUGAUGACAGUUUAUUUGCUACUCUUGACUGCUAGAAUGACGAGAGUCUUAACCACCAAUCUUACCUGAGGCACCCAAACUGGUGAUUUGGGGAACAGAGAGCACACCUAAGUUCACAUCAAGUUGUUUCUUCCCAGGUCCUAAAGAGCAAGCCUAACUCAAGCUGUUGGCACACAGGUAAGAAACCUUUGUUAUACUUCGCACCCUUUAAGGGAUUAGAAAAGAGCCAAAGCAAUGAUGCUUAUAUACAUUAGUGUUUCCCUCCUCCCCUUAUUUUAUUUUAUUUUUUUCCUUUAUUCCUCCCCUUUUCAAAUGUGAGUUUCUGCUAUCAUUUGUAUACUUAGUUUAAUACUGAAGAAAAUGAAAAAACAGGUACUAUGAUGGUUGCAUAGUUCAGCAGAUUGCAUCAUGAAGAGAUGUACCAUCUGUCUGAUGUAUCUGUGGUGGCUGUGGUUUGUUGUUAAUAGUGUAAGCAGUGUACCACCAAUCUAGCAUUAAAAUAUUUACUGACAAUUUUGUGUUAAAAUUAUUUCGUAGGCAUUACACAGAAAGCUGGAAGUUGAAAUGGUGGAGUCCAACUUGCCUGGACCAGCUUUAUGGGUUCUGCUGGUAACGUUUUUAUCCAUGGAUGGCUUGCUUGGGUAAGGACAUGAAGACCGUUCCAUUCAUAUUUGUGGCUUGCUUCUGAAAUGUGAUCUUACUGAUCACUGUUAUGGGUUUGUCUUAUAAAAUUUUAUAAAGUGGGUUGUAUGAAAGUACUGUAUUAAAGCAGUUAUUUAAAAGUAUUGGAUAAGAUUUUUGAAAGUAAAUAAUUGAAUAUUAUUUACUUUUAAGUAAAUGAUAUUCAUUGUAGGAAAUGGUGUGAAACUUUUUCAGGUGCAGAUGUUGGAGACCUUUUAAAGGUAUAUAUUUUUUUGAUGUUAACAUUAUAUUUACUGAGUGAGAUACUGUUAGUGAUGAUUUUAAAAUUAAAACAGAUGGGAAUCUCUCUGAAAGAAAAUGGAGAUUAAUCUUAAACUGAAACAGUAGCUGGGAAAUCUUUUAAAAAUCUACCUAUUAGUACCUAUUGGUAAAGGAGAUUAAAUUUCUGCAGGUAUGGAGAGUCAGCUUGACUACACCGUGUGGAGCAAUUUGUGGAGCAAGUUUUAAAGAAGCAAAGGUAUAGCAAUCACCCGUGGUUUUCUUUUUUGAGACAAUCUUGCUCUGUUGCCCAGAAUGGAGUGCAGUGGUAUCAUUGCAGCUCACUGCAGCCUCUGCUUCUUGGGUUCAAGUGAUUUUGCUGCCUCAGCCUCCCGAGUAGCUGGGACUACAGGUGCGCAGCCCCACACCUGGCUAAUUCUUGUAUUUUUAGUAGAGAUGGGUUUUCACCAUGUUGUCCAGGCUGGUCUUGAACUCCUGAUCUCAAGUGAGCCACCCUCCUCGACCUCCCAAAAUGCUUUGAUUACAGGUGUGAGCUACCAUGCCCUGCCUCAAGUAUGGUUUUUAAGUGUUGAAAAGCCAAUACCAUGAUGAUAACAUAGUUCAGCAGACUAACACUGAUGAGCAGUAUUAAGUCUUUCGCUCCUAUCUGAUGUAUCUGGCUGUAACACUCCAGUUUAUACCCUUGAAAAGGGAAAUAAUAGCCAUUCUAUAGCUUUUUGUGAUUUGGAUUACUCUUAAUUGUAUGUAAGUUGUCUUACUGUGUAUUGCCCCUUAAUUUCAGGACUUGGAAUUCAUGCUUGAAGAAAUGCAGGUUAGUUUAAGCUUUUUUGAGGUGGCAAAGGAUGUUUUUGUGGUGUAUUCACCUUAAUCUGUAGAUGGGAGUGAUUAGCUGUUUAAAAGUUAAAAUGUGACUGAAAAGGAAGUUGAGUAAAAUGUGACUGAGAAGGAAACUGAUUAGGGCAAAAUUUAAAUGGAAUUGUCUUUCAUCUUCUAACAGGCAUAUCUGUUUUAAAUGGAAUUUUUCAUCUUCUGACAGGCAGACCUGCUAACCUAAAAACUAGAGUUUAAUGACCACAGCAAGCAAGCAUGCAGUUUGGCCCUUGAAAGACGGGGUUUCACCUUGUUGACCAGGAUGCUCUCGAUCUCUUGACCUCAUGAUCCACCCGCCUUGGCCUCCCAAAGUGCUGGGAUUAUAGGUAUGAGCCACUGUUCCUGGCCUCAUGUUCUUUUUUAAGAAAUGCAUUCAUAAUAAAAUUUGGAAAUAAAUUAGCUUUCUUUAUUCUAUUAUAGGGGAAGGGGAGACAGGGGAUUACAUUUAGCUCUGAAGCUGGACUCUGAAACUUUUUCUUUGGAAGAAACAAUGAUAAAUGAGAAUAUAGAUUUUAAGAAAACUUGAUGAAGUAUGAGUGAGACACACUAUCAUUUUGAAAAAACUACUAAAUUAGAACAAUAAAUUUAUAUCAUGCUUGAUCUUUACAGUACAUUUUUAAUAUUCAUGGUUGACUUUGCACUAUACUUUUCUAUAUGUUACAAAGAUCCCUGAAGCUAAUUCAGUCUUCUGUAUCCCCCAAAGAAUGGUGACUCAGCCAGUGCAUGAUGGCAUUCACCACCUACAGCUGCUGUUUUUGAGGAAAAAAGGUCCUACUUUGACCAAGUUGGUCCAGAGGUGUCUAUAAACCCACCAGCUCUCCAGUGGUCUGAUCUGUCCCUCCACAAUUUAGGAAUGCAUUAUGUACAAAAGUUUGAGACUACCUAAUUUUCUUCAUCUGUAAAAUCUUGACACUGAAAAUAUUUUUUCAUGGUCAUAUGACUAAUUUCACUACCCCUUUAUCUAAGUGGAUUUCCCAAUUAGGGUCAGGUCUAAUUAAGUAAUGCCAAUGGAGGCUGGUAGCUAAUGAAAACAACCCUUAGUUGUUUUUUUUUUGAGUUGGACCCUGGCUCUGUCACCCAGGCUGGAGUGCAGUGGCAUGAUCUCGGCUCACUGCAACCUCUGCGUCCCAGGUUCAAGUUAUUCUCUUGUCUUAGACUGUUGAGUAGCUGGGACUAUAAGUGCCCGCCACCACGCCUGGCUGAUUUUUGUAUUUUAAGUAGAGAUUAAGUUUCACAACAUUGACCAAGCUGGUCUUGAACUCCUGAUUUCAGGUGAUCCGUCAGGCUUGGCCUCCCAAAGUGCUGAGAUUACAGGCAUGAGCCACUGUGCCUGGCCCACCCCUAGUUUUUAUACAGUGCAUUAUAAAGUAUUAUACGAUUUAUGCAGGCUGGGUGCAGUGGCUCAUGCCUGUAAUCCUAGCAGGUUUGAGACGGUGAGGUGGGUGGAUUGCCUGAGCUUAGGAGUUUGAGACCAGUCUGGACAACAUGUGAAACCUCGUCUCUAUUAAAGAUACAAAAAAUUAGCCAGGUAUGGUGGAGUGCACCUGUAAUCCCAACUAAUCAGGAGGCUGAGGCAGGAGAAUUGCUAGUACCCACGAGUUGGAGGUUGCAGUGAGCUGAGAUUGUGCCACUGGACUCCAGCCUGGACAACAGAGCGAGACUCCAUCUCUCUCAAAAAAAAAAAAAAAAAGAUUUAUACAGAGCAGCUCCAUUUUGUGAAUUAACCGUCUGUAGUUCAAAUAUAUACUAUACACAUAGAAGAGUACACCAUCAACAGCAUUGAUGCUUGGAGGUAAUUUUUCUUACUGCUUUAUUGUGCUCUCCAGCCGUUAGUAGGACCACAUCUUCCUCUUGGGUCUCCAUUAGUCUGAUUAAUUCUUGUCUUUUCAACUCCAUUAUGAAGUUAGCAACUGGAGAAUUCCAGUUUCUGUUGGUGUUAAGGAAUACAGGUAAGAUUUCCUGUGAAAAAGAAAAAGACUUAUUCACACUUUUUUUUUAACAGUGGGAAUUAAUUUAUAUUCUUAUAGUACAAAGAUUUCUGGUAGAAAAGAAUUUUCUAGAAGAAGAGAAUUUAAAAGAUAUUAUCUCUAUUAUCUCCCUGAACCCCUUCAAAAUGAUACUAAGGGAAUUUUAUAAAGUAGGCUUGGCAUGGUGGCUCAUACCUGCAAUCCCAGCACUUUGGGAGGCUGAGGUGGGUGGAUCACUUGAGGCCAGAAAUUCAACAUCAGCUUGGCCAACAUGGUGAAACCCCAUCUCUACUAAAAAUAUAAAAAUUAGCUGCGCCAGUUGUGUGCACCUGUAAUCUGAGCUACUUGGGAGGCUGAGGCAUGAGAAUCGCUUGAGCCUGAAAGGUAGAGGCUUUAGUGAGCUGAGAUUGGGCCACUGCACUCCAGCUUGGGUGAUAGAGCAAGACAAACAAAACAAACAAAAAAGGGGUAAAUUCAACAUAAUGAAAAAGCAGGGAGGAGGAUGAAGAAUGGAGAGUAAUAUCAGCGGAUGAGAGAUUACUGUGAAUUUUUGGUAGAUUUCAAGUGACGAGUAGGAAUGAUUAAAGAAACAAGGUGCAGGAAGGUUUGGCAUAAAGAACAAUGCAGGUGGCCUCAGCAUAAGGAAUUGAUUUUAUCCUGCAGAGUUCUGAAGAGGUUCAGGACUUUUAAGCCUUGAAUGCCUAGGAUAUCAGACAGCAGGGAUAUCCCUCUCUGGAUUCCCCUCCCACAACAGCAUGGGAGCUGUCUUGUCUCUCUCUCUCUCUCUCUCUCUCUAAUACACCGCUCUUCCACAAACAAAAACAAAAACAAAAACAAACAAAACAACAAAAACAAAAAGCAGACAGCAGCCUUGCUGCUCAUGCUAAACUAAACCUAACCAUUUACAAAGCCUCUUUAAGGAUCUUGGGUUUCCAACCAGCUUUUUUUUUUAUUAAGAUGAAGUCUCUCUCGCUCAGGCUGGAGUGCAGUGGCCUGAUCUUGGCUCACUGCAGUCUCUGCCUCCCAGGUUCAAGUGAUUCUCCUGCCUCAGCCUCCCAGUAGCUGGGAUUACAGAUGUGUACCACCAUGCCUGGCUAAUUUUUGUAGUUUCAAUAGAGACAGGGUUUCACUAUGUUGGCCAGGCUGGUCUCAAACUUCUCACCUCAAGCGAUCUGCCCGCAUUGGCCUCCCAAAGUACUGGGAUUACAGAUGUGAGCCACUGUAUCCGGCCCCAAACAGGUUUUAAAGUGUUCCAUUCUUGAAUAUGUACAAAUUACCAACAAUAACCGUACAUUGAAGAAACUCUGCAGCAUUAAAAAAAAGACCAACAUAAACACAAAAAAUAGCCCCAGAGAGAACAUAAUUUAGGGACCAAAAGAGGACUUGAAUCCUCAAAGGUACUCAAAAAGAUAUUUUAUGAAUAAAACCAGAAUAAUAUGCGGUUAAAAAAAAAACACACAUACAAAAAACUUCUUGAAAAAAAUUCGACAGAGUUGAAGAAAUCCCCAGGAAAAUAGAACAAACAAGACAAGGAAAAUGAUGAAAAUGAGAUGCAAAAGAAAAGAGACAAGUUAAAUUGGUUCAACAUAUAACUAGUAGAAAUUCCAGAGAGACUAGAAAAAAUGAUAGAGUCAAAAUAAUUAGAUAACAAAAUCAUUUUCUACACAUAAAAAGACAUAAACCUUCAUACUGAAAGGGCUUUUCAAGUGUAUAACACAUCGAAUGCAAAAUGAUCAAAAGGCAAACAAAUUCUGAAAUUUCAGAACAUAAAGCAUCAGAAGGCAGAAAGCUUCCAAAGAGGAAAAAUCAGGUCUGCUAUAAUGGAAUAAAUUCACACAAGCAUCAAAGCAUCAGACUUUUCAUCAGUAACAACAGAUGGAAGAAGAAAGUAAAGCAAUGCCUUAAAAGUUCUAAAGCUGUGCCGUCUAGUGAUGCACUGUGGCUAUUUACAUUUAAAUUAAUUAAAAUGAAAUAAAGUGAAAAGUUCAGCCCUUUAGCUGUACUAGCCUAUUUCAAGUGUUCACUAGCUACACUGGCUAGCAACAACUAUACCGAUCAAUGCAGACAAAACGUUUCCAUCAUUACAGAAAGUUUUGUUGAACAGCACUGUUCUAAGGUGAUAUGGCUGUCAAUUCAAAAUUUUGUAGUAAGCCAAAUUAUUAUUAAUCAAGUGUGCGGGUUUAAACACAAAGACAUUUUGUAAGGACUCAGUAAACUGAUCUCUUGUAUGCUUUCUUAGGAAGUUACUUGAUUACAUACUCCAACAAAAAAAAAAAAGAGGAAAAUCUGGGAUCCAGGAAAACUGGCUUCAACUCAGAAAAGAAAUGAAGAAAAGGUUCAGAAAGACAGCUGUGCAGAAGGUACACAGUAACUAGGACGGGAAAUGACUGUACCAGACACUUGCACCACAGAUUCCAUAGGGGCUUCACAUAAAAUCUUCCUCACAGAGGCUGCCGACUACACAACAAGGGGUGAAAAGAGUUCCAAGAGACAUAUGAACUUACAGGAAUCUUAAGUAAUUGGUAUCACUCUGGUUGCCCAGGCUGGAGUGCAGUGGUAUGAUUUUGGCUCACUUCAGUCUCUACCUCCUGAAGGUAGAGACUUCAGGUGAUUCUCCCAACUCAGCCUCCCAAGUAGCUGGGACUACAGAUGCACGCCACCACAUCCAACUAAUUUUUUGUGUUUUCAGCAGAAAUGAGGUUUCACUAUGUUACCCAGGCAGGUCUUGAACUCCUGAACUCAAGCAAUCUGCUGGCCUUGGACUCUCAGAUUGCUGGGAUUACAGGUGUGAACCACCAUGCCUGGCCUUGAAUUUUUUAAUAAAAAAAAAUUUUUUCUUCAGAAUAUCAUUCUGUCAUAUUUUAUCUAAUUUUGAUGGUAAUUAAAUUAAAUACUUUUUUGAGCAGGUAGUACCUUCACAUGGCUUCAAAUUCAAAGGGUGCAAAAAGAUAUAGUGAAAAGUUUCCCUCCUAUCCUUGUCUUCAAGGCCCUCAGUUCCUUCCCCAAUAAACACUCAAUGUUACCAGAUACUUAGGUAUCCUUCCAGAGACAUUUCAUAACAUAUAUACAAGCAAAUACACACACACACACAUACACACAUUUUGAAUAUAUAUUCUGCUUCCUUCCCCUAUUUGUUAUACAGAUGACGGCACUUAGAGUGCUGGAGUUUAAUAGCUGCUCUUCUGUAUACUCAAGAAUAGAGGGUUCUUCACUGAACAGUAUUCCUUGGAUUUUUUUCUCCCUAUUAGAACUUCUUCGUUCUUUUUUGUAUGGCUGAGCAGAGUAUCCUAUUGUAAGAAUAUACAUUAUUUUUUAAGUCAGUCUUUUAUUGGAGGACAUCUAGGUUGUUCCCCAAUUUUUUCUAUUAAAAAGAAUCCUGAAGUGAAUAUCCUUGUACAUAUGUCAUUUUGCAUCUGUAUAAGUCUAGGUAUAAGAAAAUUUACUGGCUGGGUGCAGUAGCUCAUGCCUGUAAUCCCAGCACUUUGGGAGGUCGAGGCAGGUGAAUCACGAGGUCAAGAGAUCAUGACCAUCCUGGCCAACAUGGUGAAACCCCAUCUCUACUAAAAAUACAAAAAUUAGCUGGGCGUGAGUCCCAGCUACUUGGGAGGCUGAGGCAGAAGUUGCAGUGAGCAGAGAUUGUGCAUCUGCACUCCAGACUGGCAACAGAGUGAGCUUCCAUCUCAAAAAAAAAAAAAAAAAAGAUAAUUUACCAGAAGUGGAGUUAAUGGCUCAAAGGAUAUAUGCAUUUAUAGUUUUGAUAUUGGCAAAUUGCGCUCCCCUUAGCUAGUGCCAAUUUGUACUCCCUCCAGGGAUUGAACACCUGCUUUCCCAAACACAGUGUGUUGUCAAUGUAACGUGUUAAAAAUGACAAUUACAUGCAGUUUUAAAUCGUAUUUAUCUAUCUGUGAGUGAGCCUGGCCAUACUUUCAUUAUGUCUACAAGCCAUCUAUAUAUUUUUUCCUCUAAAUUUUUUGUUAAUAUCCUGGGUUCAUAAUUAUUAUUUUUUUCUUUUUAUUUUCUUCACUGAGAAACCUGGGUUCGUAAUUCUACUGGGUCACUGGUCUUUUUGCCAUGUCUUAAUAUUGCUUCUGACAUUUUGCGGUUUUCAUUAACAAUAAACUUCUGAAUAUAAAGCCUCAAACAUAUUCAUUUAACUGCUUAGCUUACCCUAGCCACAGCAUCAAAGAGGCUUAGAUAAUGACAGGAAAUUUUCUAUUACCUCAUCCUGGGGAAUGAUAACUUGAACAAGCCCAUGGAAAUCUCUUAGGACCAAGAAUGUGUUUUGCCUGAUUAAUGGAAAGAAAAAAAGGAAUAUUUAAAGGUAAAAUCUCUAAGCCUAAAGUUUAAGCACACAAAACAAAUAACAAAAAUCCAUGCAAUUUCUCAUGUUUCUUUUUUAUGAUAAUUAUGUACUUUUUUUUUUUGUGAGAUGGAGUUUCACUCUGCCCAGGCUGGAGUGCAGUGGCGUGAUCUCACCUCCCUGCAACCUCUGCCUCCCAGGUUCAAGCAAUUCUCCUGCCUCAGCCUCCUGAGUAGCUGGGAUUAUAGGCACACGCCACCAGGCCCAGCUAAUUUUUUAUAUUUUUAGUAGAGACGGGGUUCCACCAUGUU